GGUAACUAUAGCAAGAAGGUCACACCUGUUCCCAUUCCGAACACAGUAGUUAAGCUUCUUAGCGCUGAAAAUACUUGGCGGGCGACCGCCCGGAAACAUAAGUCGUUGCCG
rnacentral:rRNA from 1 species